GCCCGGGGCUCGGUGGGGCUCUCCCUCGCGGCUGUGCCGGCACUGCGGCGGGGGUCCGUCCCCCGCACCCGCGCUGGCUCUGCUGCUUGGCGGCCUUAGGGACCGGGCAGGCGCGCUGCCGAGCCAAGGGGAGGCCGGGCCUCGGGCCUCGGCAGCGAGCUGCCGAGCGCCGGGCCUGGCCCGGCCUCGGCCUGCCCGUGCCGGCGUGGCCUCCAUUCCGCACGCCGGCGGUUGUCCGCCGCCAGCAGCCUUUCUAGCAAGGGGCGGCCGUGGCAGCGGCUCUGGCUUGCUUUCAGACUGGCCUCCGGGCAGCUCCUUGCAGCAGCCACCCAUCCCCCGCCCGGCCCGCCAGCCUGGCCUUGCGGGCAGGCCGCUGUAGAAGAGGUAUCUCGAAGGCGUAUCUCGUCUACAUACACGCACCAGGCUGAAUUUGCAGGCCGUGGCCAGCACUGCUGGCUGACAGAGGUCCUGUCCUCCGGCAGGACCCGCGGGCCCCUCGCUGGUCCCUCGGGACAGCUGUUCGGCAGGCAGAGGGAUUGCCCUGCAGCUUCAGACAUGGGUCGUCUUGCAGAGUAGAAGAUGAGACCGACAGAUGUGGCUGUGCUGAGUAGGCAGAGGCAUGGACUACUCUUUGAUCCUAUAAAGUUUAUCCUGGUUUUCAUGAAACACCCCUGUAAGUGGCCAGCAAUACAUCUCAUUGCCGCAGAACAUUCCAGCCAUUGCUCCAGGAAGAAUGAAAGGACAGUCAGAGCAGAUCACGUACCCAGUGACCCUGAAAGUAAAAGGCUUGUACUACUUUCUGCUAGCCCCCACGCUUUGCUACCACCUGAAUUUCCUAAGAAAUUCACACUGCAGACACAGCUAUAUCAUUAAGAGGCUCCUGGAAGUGGGCCCUGAAGGAGUAAACAAAUGUCCUACAGACUGUACGUGCACUCUGCUAAAAAUGUAGCAAUAGCCAGAGCUGUCUGCGGUUGCUUUCCUUUUGUGUAAGUCCAACAGUGAUGCAAUUACGCUGUGAAAUAAUGAAAAUUUC
rnacentral:lncRNA from 1 species